CAGAGAACACCAUCACCCUACAGCCAGGCGCCCACGUGCACCGCAGUCACGAUCAUGCAGAUACACUCCAGCCCACUUACCGUAUUAGAUGAGACUGGUAGGGCCCCUGUCUUCCCUCCUUAAUAACUUCUUCCAGUUUAACCCAGCGGCUGUGUGAGACCGAGACGGGACUGAAGACAUUUGGGAUCGCAGGGAGCCUGGAACUUAUCCCAGGGAGCUCGGGCUACAAGGCAGGGGACACCCUGGACGGAGUCCCAACCCAUCGCAAGGCAAAACUGCACACACGUUCAAACUACGAACAAUUUGGAAAUCUGAAUCAGCCUACAGAGCAUGUUUUUGGACAGGGGAAAAAACUGGAGUACCCGGAAGAAACCCCCGAAGCAAGAACAUGCAAGCUCAGCACACGCAGUCAUCAGCUGCUGUUGUAGUUGUUGUUUUAUUUUUCAUGAACCACAUUGUGAUUGCUUCAUUUCAGAUCCAUGGUGCUGGUGUACAGAGGCAAAAUGAUGAAAACUGCAUCACUGUUCAAAUGCAUAUGGACCUGACUGUACUUCAGUGUGAUUAAUGUUUAUUACAUAAUAAAGGUGAUUAA